GUUGCAAAAACAAAAGCACACAAACCAAAAACGCUGCAAAUACAUAAACGCUUUGCAAAAAUGAAAGCAUGCGAACCAAAAACGCUGCAUCCAGUUUUCACAACGGAAGUUCUUCAGGCCUCUAGGGGGAGCGCUAAGUGAGAGCGCUAAGUGGAACAGCUUGAUUUGCGGCCCCACGGAGCAAUAGAGAGAGAGAAGAAGAAGCAUGAGAAGUUUGGACAAACGUCGAAGAGGCAACAUAAAAAGAUGUUCUGUCCAUAUUGUGGAUCUGUCUAAAACAGCUUCCCCUGGGUUUUGUUUUAUGUGUGGCAAAAACAUCUAAAAGCAGUGGCAAACAAAGUCCCUGAGGAUAUGCCUACGACCAGUGCACAUGCUAAUGCACAGCCUAGUGCUGCAGGAAGCUCAGAUGUAGGGUCCUUUAUGACAUUUAGGGCAAUAAAAGAGAGGGAGUGA